GGGAAGACCUGAGGGGACGUGGUCCUGGGGCUGGAAGUCCACAGGCGAGUCUCACUGGAGAGGGACCCUGUUAGUCCCGUGUGGCUGCAAGGGGCAUGCAGGCUUGGAGGAAGCUUCCAAGAGGCUGGUCCCAGGGAGGGAAAAAUGUGUCUUGCUGGGUAAUAAACCUUAUGGAGACAGAAGGAUUGGGAGUAGGCCACCUUUGAGACUGAGGAUGGUGGUGGGAUUCUGGGAUUCUGUGUGUGAGUGUGUGUGUGUGUCCUUGACUUACUACUAGAGCAAGCCGAGCCCAGGAAGGCAAUUCUGUUC
rnacentral:lncRNA from 1 species